GAUGAACGCUGACGGCGUGCCUAAUACAUGCAAGUCGAGCGAACGGACGAGAGGCUUGCUUCUCUGAUGUUAGCGGCGGACGGGUGAGUAACACGUGGAUAACCUACCUAUAAGACUGGGAUAACUUCGGGAAACCGGAGCUAAUACCGGAUAAUAUUUUGAACCGCAUGGUUCAAAAGUGAAAGACGGUCUUGCUGUCACUUAUAGAUGGAUCCGCGCUGCAUUAGCUAGUUGGUAAGGUAACGGCUUACCAAGGCAACGAUGCAUAGCCGACCUGAGAGGGUGAUCGGCCACACUGGAACUGAGACACGGUCCAGACUCCUACGGGAGGCAGCAGUAGGGAAUCUUCCGCAAAGGGCGAAAGCCUGACGGAGCAACGCCGCGUGAGUGAUGAAGGUCUUCGGAUCGUAAAACUCUGUUAUUAGGGAAGAACAUAUGUGUAAGUAACUGUGCACAUCUUGACGGUACCUAAUCAGAAAGCCACGGCUAACUACGUG
rnacentral:rRNA from 1 species